CGGGGUGUAGUUCAUCGGUAGAAUGCACGGUUCGGGACCGUGUGGCAGGGGGUUCAAUUCCCCCCACCCCGA
rnacentral:tRNA from 7 species